AAAUUGAAGAGUUUGAUCAUGGCUCAGAUUGAACGCUGGCGGCAGGCCUAACACAUGCAAGUCGAACGGUAACAGGAAGCGCUUGCUGCUUCGCUGACGAGUGGCGGACGGGUGAGUAAUGUCUGGGAAACUGCCUGAUGGAGGGGGAUAACUACUGGAAACGGUAGCUAAUACCGCAUAACGUCGCAAGACCAAAGAGGGGGACCUUCGGGCCUCUUGCCAUCGGAUGUGCCCAGAUGGGAUUAGCUUGUUGGUGGGGUAACGGCUCACCAAGGCGACGAUCCCUAGCUGGUCUGAGA
rnacentral:rRNA from 1 species